UUAGAGGUCUUCCCUGCCCUAUGAAUUUUUAAAUGGCCGCGGUACCUUGACCGUGCUAAGGUAGCAUAAUAAUUUGUCUCUUAAUUAGAGACUGGAAUGAAUGGAAUCACGAGAGUCUAGCUGUUUCUUUUUUACAAAUAAAAACUAACCUGUAAGUGAAGAGGCUUAUAUAUACUAAAAAGACAAAAAGACCCUAUUGAGCUUGAUCUAAAAAUAUACUUUCAUAUCAAAGAUUUUGUUGGGGCAACAAGAGAAUAUCUUAAUCUUCUCUAUAACUAAAACAGAUACAGAUCCGUUAUACGAUCAUUAAAUAAAGCUACCAUAGGGAUAACAGGCUAAUUCUUUUUGAGAGACCAAAUUGACAAAAGAGAUUGGCACCUCGAUGUUGGCUUAGGAGAUCUCCUAGAUGCAGAAGUCUAGACUAGUGGGUUUGUUCAACCCUUAAAAUCCUAC
rnacentral:rRNA from 1 species